UACGAAGGGGGCUAGCGUUGUUCGGAAUUACUGGGCGUAAAGCGCGCGUAGGCGGGCUAACAAGCCAGAGGUGAAAUCCCAGAGCUCAACUCUGGAACUGCCUUUGGAACUGUUAGCCUAGAGUAUCGGAGGGGACAGUGGAAUUCCUAGUGUAGAGGUGAAAUUCGUAGAUAUUAGGAGGAACACCAGUGGCGAAGGCGACUGUCUGGACGAUUACUGACGCUGAGGUGCGAAAGCGUGGGGAGCAAAC
rnacentral:rRNA from 1 species